GUACUAGAAAUAGGCCAUAGCAGAAGUGCUCACAACGCAGCCCUGUCAGAUUCCAGCAAAUCUGCAAAUUCUGCU
rnacentral:ribozyme from 1 species